rnacentral:rRNA from 1 species
UACGUAGGGACCGAGCGUUGUCCGGAUUCAUUGGGCGUAAAGAGCUCGUAGGCGGCUGCUCAAGUCGAAUGUGAAAACUCGAGGCUCAACCUCGAGCCUGCAUUCGAUACUGGGCGGCUAGAGUCUGGUAGGGGGAUCUGGAAUUCCUGGUGUAGCGGUGGAAUGCGCAGAUAUCAGGAGGAACACCGGUGGCGAAGGCGGGAUCCUGGGCCAGUACUGACGCUGAGGAGCGAAAGCGUGGGAAGCAAACAGG